AGGAAUGAGCAAGAGGAAAGAAGAUUCUGGUCUCACUUAAAAUGGACUGCGGUACCUCCUCUGCUUGAAAUUCAAAGAAGCCAAGGUUGGAACUAUAAAAGGAUGAACAAAUUACAGCAUUCAAAAUAUAUUUUAAAAUAAGAGUGGAACAAAGCUGCAGCUUUUGGGUGCUGAUCAAAUAGAAGCUAAGGCAUUCAUAGACAAGUGUUAUUUGUUUUUUCAAACAAACGAGAUUAAAAGAGAAAACCAAAUAAUGGAGAGAACCCAGCACAGAGCCAGGUAUGUCAUUAGCUCUCAAUAAAUAUGUUUUCAUUCUUCUUUAUGUCAUGC
rnacentral:lncRNA from 1 species